rnacentral:rRNA from 1 species
UGGGGAAUCUUGGACAAUGGGCGCAAGCCUGAUCCAGCGAUGCCGCGUGUGUGAAGAAGGCCUUAGGGUUGUAAAGCACUUUAAUGAGGGAGGAUUAGGAUGCGUUGAAUAGACGUGUCUGAGGACGUUACCUCAAGAAUAAGCACCGGCUAACUCUGUGCCAGCAGCCGCGGUAAUACAGAGGGUGCGAGCGUUAAUCGGAAUUAUUGGGCGUAAAGGGAGCGUAGGCGGAUGUGCAAGUGAUAUGUGAAAUCUCCGAGCUUAACUCGGAACGGUCAGAUGAUACUGCUGUGCUAGAGUACAGAAAGGGCAAUCGGAAUUCUUGGUGUAGCGGUGAAAUGCGUAGAUAUCAAGAGGAACACCUGAGGCGAAGGCGGGUUGCUAGGCUGAUACUGACGCUGAGGCGCGAAAGCUAGGGUAGCAAACGGGAUUAGAUACCCAAGUAGUCCCUGAGCGGGCUGGCAAGGCGCAU